ACAAGGAUUCCCCCAGUAACGGCGAGUGAAGCGGGAAGAGCUCAAGCUUAAAAUCUCCAUACUUGUAUGGCGAAUUGUAGUCUAUUGAGGCUGUUGUCAGCAUCGCGAUUGGGGACAAGUCCCUUGGAAAAGGGCAGCAUAGAGGGUGAUACUCCCGUCUCUGCUCCAAUCUGCGGUGUGUACGAUACGCUUUCUUUGAGUCGAGUUGUUUGGGAAUACAGCUCAAAGUAGGUGGUAAAUUCCAUCUAAAGCUAAAUAUUGGUGCGAGACCGAUAGCGAACAAGUACCGUGAGGGAAAGAUGAAAAGAACUUUGAAAAGAGAGUUAAAGAGUACCUGAAACUGUUGAAAGGGAACCGUAUCGUUUCCAGUGUUGUAUCCUAUGCAUAUUUCAUUCGCGGAGUAAUUUGCGGGUGCCCUGUGCAUGGGUGUGACGUCAGGGUCAGUUUGUAUGCUGCGGGAGAUGGUCAGUGAGGAGGUGCGUCACUUCGGUGAAAGUUAUAUCUCGCUGUCUAGUAGCCGUGGUUGAGACUGAGGUGCCUACAACAUGCCUUAAGGUUCCGUGUUGUCUCGUGUUGGUGACUGCUUUGAUAGCUUGCUAUGUCUGUGGUUUAUCAGUGCGAUUGAUGAUGCGGAUAACUUUUGCUGUUCGGGACUCUGGCGAAAUGGAGCGAUACGACCCGUCUUGAAACACGGACCAAGGAGUCUAACAUGUGUGCAAGUAUUAGGGCGUGGAAACCCAAAUGCGUAAUGAAAGUAAAUGCUGCUUAUGCAGCUGUGGUAGGAAAGGGCUGUCAAGGUCCUGGCACUAUCGACCGAUCAUGAGCCUACGGGCAAAAGAUU
rnacentral:rRNA from 1 species